UACGUAGGGGGCAAGCGUUGUCCGGAUUUAUUGGGCGUAAAGAGCGUGUAGGCGGCCAGGUAGGUCCGCUGUGAAAGUCCGAGGCUCAACCUCGGAAUGUCGGCGGAAACCCUCUGGCUAGAGUCCGGAAGAGGAGAGUGGAAUUCCCGGUGUAGCGGUGAAAUGCGCAGAUAUCGGGAAGAACACCCGUGGCGAAGGCGGCUCUCUGGAACGGUACUGACGCUGAGACGCGAAAGCGUGGGGAGCGAACAGG
rnacentral:rRNA from 1 species